AGUGCAAAACAACCAUGGCUGCUGCAGGAAAACUCUUUUCGGGUCGGUUCCAGUUGUUGAAAUCUUUGAACCACCAUAGCUCUGCAAAGUUUUCCACUGGCCGUCACUUAUGUGCACAAAAAAGUUAUGAGUUGUUGAUAGUGGGCGGCGGGACGGGCGGAACGGUGAUUGCUAACAAAUUCGCCCCGAAACUUGGAUCUGGUAAAGUUGCAGUUAUUGAACCCAGUGAUACACACUACUACCAGCCAAUGUGGACACUGGUAGGUGGAGGGAUAAAGACACUGGAAGACAGCAGUCGGCCAACCAAGAAUGUGCUACCAAAGCAAUGUGACUGGAUUAAACAGAAAGCAGCAUCCUUUGACCCACAUAAGUGCACUGUAACUACAGACAAUGGAGAUGAGAUAAAAUAUCAAUAUUUGGUUGUGGCCAUGGGAAUACAGCUCAACUAUAAUAAAAUAAAAGGCCUCCCUGAAGCUUUUGAUGAAGAUCCCAUGCUGACCUCCAACUACAGCACGGAUUAUGUAACCAAGACCUACAAAGCCCUGAAUGAGUUCCAGGCAGGCAAUGCCAUUUUCACCUUCCCAAACACACCCAUCAAAUGUGCAGGUGCUCCACAAAAGAUAAUGUAUCUGGCAGAAGAGAGGUUUAGACAGAGAGGUGUUCGAGACAAAGCAACUGUGAUGUUCAACACAUCAUUGGGUGUGAUUUUUGGUGUUAAGAAAUAUGCUGAUGCCUUGUUGAAAGUUAUCGAAAAAAGAGAUAUCAAAGUGAAUUACAAGAAGAAUUUGAUUGAAGUUCGCCCGGGUAAAAAAGAAGCUGUAUUUGAAAAUUUGGACAGCACCACAGGUCUAGGGGAGACACAAACUGUCCAAUAUUCAUUCAUGCACAUCACGCCACCCAUGUCAGCGCCAGAUGUUCUGCGUAAUAGUCCCCUAGUGGAUCAAUCAGGCUUUGUGAAUGUCAAUAAGAAUACACUACAGCAUGUGGAAUUUUCUAAUGUCUUUGGUAUAGGGGACUGUACCAAUGUCCCCACAUCAAAGACAGCAGCAGCAAUCUCUGGGCAGUGUGGCGUCCUUAGAAAAAACUUAUGGGAGGUCAUGCAGGGCAGAGAGCCAGAGAAAGAGUAUAAUGGCUACACCUCCUGUCCUCUUAUUACUGGGUACAAGUCCUGUAUCCUGGCAGAGUUUGACUUUGCUGGCAAUCCUCUGGAGACCUUCCCAAUCAAUCAGGGGGUGGAAAGACGUUCCAUGUUCCACAUGAAGAAAGAUGUCAUGCCACAGAUGUACUGGAAGUUUUUGCUGAAUGGAUACUGGGAAGGACCAGACAUUCCAAGAAAAAUUAUGCACUUGGGGCUCAGCCAGUAAAAAGAGAAAUAAGAAGAUAUGUCCAAAGCACAAUAUCUAGUUUUAAACAUUUUAGUUCAUUGAAUAGUGUGACACAUAUCAAGUGGUUUCAUGUGUAGACCUAGCACAACGCACAGUUUAUUUCAGCAUUAUGUUUUCACAAAGAAGCCAAAGGAGAGAACAGCAUUACAUACCAAGAAAGCAGCACAAAGCACUUGAAAAGCAUUGGGUUUCCAGGUUGAAUUUUUUCUUUUACAAGUUCAGUUUAUGUUACCUUAUCAGAACACUGUUAUUGUUAUCUUGUGUGUUUAGUUUGAAGAAAUUCCAAAAGCAGUGGACUGCAUUUUUCAAAAGCUUUAUCAGAACACUGUUAUUGUUAUCUUGUGCGUUUAGUUUGAAGAAGUGCCAAAAGCAGUGGGCUGCAUUUUUUUUU
rnacentral:misc_RNA from 1 species